AUCGCUUCUGGAAAAGUCCAGUUAUUUGCGGCUUUAAGCUAAAAGAGAUAGAAACCGAUUGGAUUCCUGAGAAAGCAGAUCGUAUGUGUAAUCAUUCAUGCUCCAUAUCCACGGUGCCACUUACUGAAUGGCCGACGUUCCAGCUUUCCAAAGUACUUUUUAAACUCGAAAUAAACAAAAACAAUAGUAUUUUAUUUCAAACAAAGCCAAAUUGCAAACAGGUGAUUGAAGUUGAUAUGAAGAGAAUCAAAAUGGAAACAACAUGUAGAAAUAACAAGCAUUCAGUAUUUGGUACUUUUGUUGAUAUUUGCACAUCAGCAGAGGAAUGUGGCGGUCAGAAAGUUUGUAGGUUAACAGGCAAACUUGGAUUUGGUGUGUGUGAAGCUCCAGACUCAUCAAGGACAUCACCAGCAGAUGUCACAGAGACCAUUAUUGGUAACAAAUUGGAAACAUGAAAGUUACCUCCAGAGAGUACUUUAAAGUACAGUGCUAAUACAACUGUAUUAGUUGGAACAGGACUUGGUGGAAUGGCUCUUGGGAUUUUAAUUUCUGCGGCUUGUUUCUUAGCAAUAAAGGCUAAGGGACAUCAAGCUUUUUUAAAGAAAGCAAAAAAGAGUGAACAAGAAGAAAUAGGUGGAUCAAUCCCUGAAGGAGAUCCUUAUAAUCAUCUACGAGAUGACAAUGCAGAUCAUAUUGGCGAAUUGGAUAACAUGUAUGAUCAUUCAGACAUUAUUUUACAAAGGGAAUCUAAGGAAUAUAGUUUUACCGCUGAAAGAAAUCCUACUAACAAUCCAUCAAAUGUGGAACAAUUUUCUUCAGCUCAUCGCAGUGAUGAAACAGACAACUAUUUUUUGAUUGAAAAAACUGUCAUAUAAUCUUGUUAGAAAGUCGGAAAAUAUUCAUUCUGUGAGAGAAAGGUCUGUUUGAGGCCCAACUGGACAGAUUGAGGACUUUAUCCUACUCAAAACAUUUGCUUAACUUGAUUAACUUCCAAGGUGAUGGUUAUAUGUACUUGCUAUGAUUACGUAUCACACUUGAUUGUACAGAGAGUGAAGGAUGAAAACAAUUACUGUAUUAUUUAUUUACAACUUAAUGGACAGUGCCAGGAAAAUUUAGAUUUAAAUCAUAGCUCACUUGAGUUCUGACUUCUUACCAUGUAAAGCUAUAUGAGUAUAGAUGUCCUUACCGGAUGGAGAAAGUAAUUAUUACAAAGGGAGGUAAAUACUCUAAAGUAGGUACAUGUAGGCACAAGCAAAAGCGUAUAGAUAUGCAAAAUCUGAAGUUAGUGUUCAAUUUUGUACAAAUGAUAUCGCAAAUUUUUGUGGACAAUCAGGAUUUAAGAGACACUAUACGAUUUCUUUGUAAACAACAGUGGAGAUCCGCUUGUAUGAAACUGAGAUUGAGUAACAGCAAAUAAGAGA